CAGGGAGACAAACAUUGAUCAUGAUGCUUGGGUAUAUAUUUUCUUAAGCCAUGAUCCUGUCACCUUAGGUCGAUCGGUACCUCAGGUCUAUUUUUAAUCUUUUUUAGAUUAAGAAUAGAUUUCAGUUCCUAAACUUGUCUAGGUCACACCCCGCAAGGGUACUCCUGGGCCAUUAGCUCAGGUGGUUAGAGCGCACCCCUGAUAAGGGUGAGGUCCCUGGUUCAAGUCCAGGAUGGCCCAUUCGGUGUUGGGGGUAUAGCUCAGUUGGUAGAGCGCCUGCUUUGCAAGCAGGAUGUCAGCGGUUCGAGUCCGCUUACCUCCACUGAUCGAUUAAUAGCUUUAGCCUAAUGAAGAUAACCUUGUUAGAUGUGACUUAGAUGAUAGUUAGCUGAAUGAAUCUAGCUUCUUAUCACUCCUAAGAUAAAUAAUUAGAUUAGGCUGAUAUGACGCUGGACUCACUGUUGUUUUAUAAAUAACAGAGACUUCAGCAGAACCUUGACAACUGCAUAUGUGAGUCUGGAAAGAAUAAAGCAUCUCAUGGAUGCAUUUUUCUAGCAAUUUUUAAUAAAUUGCUAUGAAGAAUGUUUAAUUCUUGAGUUUAAGAGACGAGUCUCUGCAUUUAUUUAACUUUAAUGAUUAGUUUUAAUCAAAUCGAUUUUAUCUAGUUAUUAAAUAAUAAUGUGGAGAAUAAAU
rnacentral:tRNA from 1 species